AUUGAACGCUGGCGGCAUGCUUUACACAUGCAAGUCGAACGGCAGCGCGGGCUUCGGCCUGGCGGCGAGUGGCGAACGGGUGAGUAAUACAUCGGAACGUGCCCAGUAGUGGGGAUUGGCCGGCGGAAGGCGGAUUAAUACCGCAAAAGGCCUGGAGGUGGAAACGGGGGGUUCUCCGGACUUGCCCUGUUGGGGCGGCCGAUGGCAGAUUAGCUAGUUGGUGGGGUAAAGGCCUUCCAAGGCGACGAUCUGUAGCUGGUCUGAGAGGACGACCAGCCACACUGGGACUGAGACACGGCCCAGACUCCUACGGGAGGCAGCAGUGGGGAAUUUUGGACAAUGGGCGAAAGCCUGAUCCAGCAAUGCCGCGUGUGUGAUGAAGGCCUUCGGGUUGUAAAGCACUUUUGGCGGGAACGAAAAGGACUGUGCCAAUACCACGGUUCGAUGACGGUACCCGCAGAAUAAGCACCGGCUAACUACGUG
rnacentral:rRNA from 1 species